AUUAACACUACUCCAACGGGAAUAUUCUAAAGGAUCAAAUUUACAGAUGAAACAUGAAAAGAAGAACUUGGAUUAUGUGACAACGUUUUAUCAUUCAAAAGAAAAAUUGUAUGUGAAAGUGUGAUUUAUCUGCGGUGUUAAUUAAGAACAAUAACUUUUGGGCAACGUCAACAUUGAAAACAUGCCUAUAAUUGAAAGUACAACAAAUAGCCUGUUUACGGGAAUUCAGAGAAUGAUCUUGUCCAAGAAGCCAGAGAAUUGAAGAUGUGUUCGUCAAAACCUCGCCGGCCAUAUUUAACAAACCCGUAGAAUUAUUCUGUAAGAUUAAUGAUGAAUUUAACACAAAACUUACCAGAAAAUGGGAAAGAGGUAUUGUCCCCUUGACGCACAACAACCUCACUGUUAACGAGUCAAAAUACAAAGAAAGAUUGACAAACAUUGGAUUUGGUCUUGAAAUACUGAAUUUUCAGGAGUCCGACCUAGAUAAAGAGUAUGUCUGCGUGUAUGGUUUUGACAGAUAUCCAACGUAUUUGACAAUCAACAUGGGUGAAUUUGAGUUACAUCCAGUAGACGAAACGACGACGAAAACGUGGAGUUUUACAGCGAGAACUUUGGACAUACAAAUAAAGUUUUCUUUAAUAUACCCUAUUCCAAUUUGCAAAGUAAUUUUAAAUGACAAAAAUUUAACCAUGUACAUUACGACAGCAUCCAAACAAGUUGGUUUGUUUUACUUUGCAACUGUAAAACUGGAAAAAAGUAUUGAAUCAAUAUGUCUGAAAAAAUUACAAACGAAUUGCACCGUAGGGAGGACAGAAUUCGUUGUUAUAAAUUAUCCUAGCACUACCCGAAAUUGCAAAAAUGCUGGCAAAAGGCAAGUUGAAUAUGGAUAUCUGUGGGCUUUUAUCGUAUUGGUGUUUAGAAUUAAUUCAGUUUUAUGGAACAUUUAGACUAGAACAGAUCCAAAAACACUUUCUUCAGCAUGCUGAUUAAGUCAAGUUAAAUUUAGGAAGUUUGUAUAAGAUUUUUGUGUUGGCGUUUAACCGAAAAACAUAGUAGAUUUAAAAUAGAUAAAAAAUAUUUCUGAAUAGUUUGUAUGUGACAAUAAUUAUCUAAAUACAAUGUAUUAUAGUCAAUUUCAUCAACUGGAAUAUAAAGCGAUUACUGACAUCUGCUAUGCAGUUCAGUCAUAAAGCAUCAAAUGUUUGAUUCCUCAACAAAGGAAACUCUGCGGAUUAUGCUAAUAAAAUUCAGUUCAUUAGUAAAAUAAAUGGAAAAAAGACAUUUUGAUAAAUAAGUUCAGCUUUUGAAAUGUUAAAUCUCAUUUUAGAGAUAAUGGAAAAAUUAAAUUCAUUAAUUUUACUUUAUCAAAAUAAUUGAAGACCACUUUAGAAAAGCGAUUUGUAAAGACGAUGUAAAUAAUUUCACAAAAGAAAUUCCAUGAUUAAAAAAUAAUAAUGAAACAAAAAUGUUCAACGUUACUGUAAGCAAGUUCAAAUACUUUUAAAAUAAAUAGAGAGAGAGAGAGAGAGAAGAUACCAAGGGUGCAAUAGUAAUCAUAAGUGCAAUAAAAACACCACGACCAAAAAUAAAAACGAUGAAAAAACGAACAAAUUUUCACAAAACACUUAUAUUUACAGAUUAAGCAAAACUAACACCACCAAAAAUACGGAAGUGAACUGCUAACAAAGAAUUUUUAAUAUGUUACACUUAAA